CUUGUCUGCAGUGUUUUGUGUUCCGUGUAUGAUGUAGACUUAUCUGUGUGUGAUGUAGGCUUGUCUGCAGCGGCCAUAGUGUUGGGUGUAUGAGGUAAGCUUGCCUGAGCCAGUGUGGAGACGGAGUGGAUCUUCUUCUUGUCCAGCAGGAUGCUGUUGGUGAUGUCAGCGAUGGACAGCCCCACUGACCAGGACCUCUGCCCCUUCCCCUUCAGCAUCUCGAAGGCUCUGCCAGCAACCAAAGGGACACCAAAGGCUAUGUGAGACGAACACUUGGAGGCUGCUAAUUCCAUCCACUUGGGGACAUAGAAGACUGAUCCUUACUCAUGGGAGUGCUGGCAUGAACACAGAAGUAAGGAAUUCCCCAGCCUUGGAUAACAGGUG